CCUACGGGAGGCAGCAGUGGGGAAUUUUCCGCAAUGGGCGAAAGCCUGACGGAGCAAUACCGCGUGAGGGAAGACUGCCUAUGGGUUGUAAACCUCUUUUUUCAGGGAGGAAUAAAAUGACGUGUACCUGAAGAAUAAGCAUCGGCUAACUCCGUGCCAGCAGCCGCGGUAAGACGGAGGAUGCAAGUGUUAUCCGGAAUCACUGGGCGUAAAGCGUCUGUAGGUGGUUUAAUAAGUCAACUGUUAAAUCUUGAGGCUCAACUUCAAAACCGCAGUCGAAACUAUUAGACUAGAGUAUAGUAGAGGUAAAGGGAAUUUCCAGUGGAGCGGUGAAAUGCGUAGAUAUUGGAAAGAACACCGAUGGCGAAAGCACUUUACUGGGCUAUUACUAACACUCAGAGACGAAAGCUAGGGUAGCAAAUGGGAUUAGAUACCCCAGUAGUCCUAGCCGUAAACUAUGGAUACUAGAUGUUGAACAGAUCGACCUGUGCAGUAUCAAAGCUAACGCGUUAAGUAUCCCGCCUGGGAAGUAUGCUCGCAAGAGUGAAACCUUAAAGGAAUUGAACGGUCUGNGAGUGCGAGACGACGACGAGGAGGAGG
rnacentral:rRNA from 1 species